rnacentral:rRNA from 1 species
CGUUACCUACGGGGCGCAGCAGUAGGGAAUCUUCCACAAUGGGCGAAAGCCUGAUGGAGCAACGCCGCGUGGGUGAAGAAGGUCUUCGGAUCGUAAAACCCUGUUGUUAGAGAAGAAAGUGCGUGAGAGUAACUGUUCACGUUUCGACGGUAUCUAACCAGAAAGCCACGGCUAACUACGUGCCAGCAGCCGCGGUAAUACGUAGGUGGCAAGCGUUAUCCGGAUUUAUUGGGUGUAAAGGGCGUGUAGGCGGGCCUGUAAGUCAGAAGUGAAAUCUGGGGGCUUAACCCCCAAACUGCUUUUGA